GCUCCCGUGGUCCAGCCUGGACAAGACAAGAGGUUGCGGACCUCUAAACCCGCGUUCAAAUCGCGGCGGGAGCA
rnacentral:tRNA from 1 species